rnacentral:rRNA from 1 species
AUGAACGCUAGCGACAGGCCUAACACAUGCAAGUCGAGGGGCAGCACAAGGAGCAAUCUGAGGUGGCGACCGGCGCACGGGUGAGUAACACGUAUGCAACCUGCCUGUAAGCGGGGAAUAACCCGUUGAAAGACGGACUAAUACCGCAUAACUACUAAAUUACUGCAAUGGUAAUUUAUUUAAACAUUUAUGGCUUACAGAUGGGCAUGCGCAUGAUUAGCUAGUUGGAGAGGUAACGGCUCCCCAAGGCAACGAUCAUUAGGGGUUCUGAGAGGAAGGUCCCCCACACUGGUACUGAGACACGGACCAGACUCCUACGGGAGGCAGCAGUGAGGAAUAUUGGUCAAUGGACGAGAGUCUGAACCAGCCAAGUCGCGUGCAGGAAGAAUGUCCUAUUGGAUUGUAAACUGCUUUUGCAGGGGAAUAAAGUGCAUCACGUGUGAUGUUUUGUAUGUACUCUGCGAAUAAGGAUCGGCUAACUCCGUGCCAGCAGCAGC